GGUUACCUUGUUACGACUUCACCCCAGUCAUGAAACACAAAGUGGUAAUCGUCCUCCCGAAGGUUAGACUAACUACUUCUUUUGCAUCCCACUCCCAUGGUGUGACGGGCGGUGUGUACAAGGCCCGGGAACGUAUUCACCGCAGUAUUCUGACCUGCGAUUACUAGCGAUUCCGACUUCAUGGAGUCGAGUUGCAGACUCCAAUCCGGACUACGACAUUCUUUAAGGGGUCCGCUCCACAUCACUGUCUCGCUUCCCUCUGUAAAUGCCAUUGUAGCACGUGUGUAGCCCUACACGUAAGGGCCUGAAUAACUUGAC
rnacentral:rRNA from 1 species